rnacentral:tRNA from 1 species
GCCUUCGUGGUGUAGUGGUCAGCACGCUUGACGCGUAUUCGAGAGGUCCGUGGUUCGAGUCCCGGCGAGGACA